CAGUCGCCGCGGGAAUACAGAGGGUGCGAGCGUUAAUCGGAUUUACUGGGCGUAAAGCGUGCGUAGGCGGCUUCUUAAGUCGGAUGUGAAAUCCCUGAGCUUAACUUAGGAAUUGCAUUCGAUACUGGGAAGCUAGAGUAUGGGAGAGGAUGGUAGAAUUCCAGGUGUAGCGGUGAAAUGCGUAGAGAUCUGGAGGAAUACCGAUGGCGAAGGCAGCCAUCUGGCCUAAUACUGACGCUGAGGUACGAAAGCAUGGGGAGCAAACAGGAUUAGAUACCCCGUGUAGUCCCUGUCUCUUAUU
rnacentral:rRNA from 1 species